UGCACCCUGGCUCUCAACCCACUAACGUAGGUCUCAGUGCUGGAGGUGUCGCGGGCCCUGAUGGUGCAGGUUCUUCUGUGCUCCUGAUGCUGGCUUCCUUCUAUGUGUGAGCACGCCUGAGCUGUAGGACGCUGUGGGCUCCUGCUGCAGCAUCAUGGAAAGCACUGAUCACCACAUCACAGAGUGAGCACAUCUGAUCCUGCAGUGCAAAAUCCCAAGGAAAUGAAUGGGCUGACUGGAUUUCAGUGCAGGACUGAGACUGUAUUGGG